rnacentral:rRNA from 1 species
CCUACGGGAGGCAGCAGUGGGGAAUAUUGGGCAAUGGAGGCAACUCUGAUGCAGCGACGCCGCGUGAAUGAAGAAGGUCUUCGGAUUGUAAAGUUCUAUAAUUGGGGACGAAAAAAAUGACGGUACCCAAGGAAUAAGCCCCGGCUAACUACGGGACAGCAGCGGCGGGAAGACGUAGGGGGCAAGCGUUGGUCGGAAGGACUGGGCGGUAAGGGGGUGUAGGCGGUGUAGGCAAGUAGAAGUGGAAUACCUAGAGCUUAACUCAGGGGCUGCUUCUAAAACUGCUAUACUUGAGUGCAGUAGAGGUAAGUGGAAUUCCUAGUGUAGCGGUGAAAUGCGUAGAUAUUAGGAGGAACAUCAGUGGCGAAGGCGACUUUCUGGACUGUAACUGACGCUGAGGCACGAAAGUGUGGGGAGCAAACAGGAUUAGAUACCCUGGUAGUC